rnacentral:rRNA from 1 species
AGGGUGUAAACGCUGCAGACUUGGUGUUGGAGGCCCUUUGGGGGCAUUCAGUGCCGGAGAGAAGUUGUUAAGUCUGCUACUUGGGGAGUACGUCCGCAAGGAUGAAACUUAAAGGAAUUGGCGGGGGAGCACCGCAACGGGAGGAGCGUGCGGUUUAAUUGGAUUCAACACCGUAAAACUCACCAGGGAAGACUGUUACAUGAAGGCCGAGAUGAGGACUCUGCUAGAUUUUUCAGAGAGGAGGUGCAUGGCGUCAGUGACU